rnacentral:rRNA from 1 species
AGUGAACGCUGGCGGUAGGCCUAACACAUGCAAGUCGAACGGCAGCACAGGAGAGCUUGCUCUCUGGGUGGCGAGUGGCGGACGGGUGAGGAAUACAUCGGAAUCUACCUUGUCGUGGGGGAUAACGUAGGGAAACUUACGCUAAUACCGCAUACGACCUUCGGGUGAAAGUGGGGGACCGCAAGGCCUCACGCGAUUAGAUGAGCCGAUGUCGGAUUAGCUAGUUGGCGGGGUAAAAGCCCACCAAGGCGACGAUCCGUAGCUGGUCUGAGAGGAUGAUCAGCCACACUGGAACUGAGACACGGUCCAGACUCCUACGGGAGGCAGCAGUGGGGAACAUUGGACAAUGGGCGCAAGCCUGAUCCAGCCAUACCGCGUGGGUGAAGAAGGCCUUCGGGUUGUAAAGCCCUUUUGUUGGGAAAGAAAUCUUGCCGGUUAAUACCUGGCGAGGAUGACGGUACCCAAAGAAUAAGCACCGGCUAACUUCGUGCCAGCGGCCGCAGUAAAAC